AUUAAAUGAGUGUAGGUAAGUAGGGGAGGAAGUCAUGUGAACAAAACCAGGUAGUAGUGUUAUGUGUCUCCAACAAAACAAAACUUAUUUCUGGUGUCAUGUAAAUCUGAUUGAUUUCAAUGAAAAAGAUAAAUGAGAAUGAGGAAAAGAAAAAGAAAAAGAAAAGUUGGUGAAAUUGGGUGGCAAGAAUAUAGGGAAAGAGAAUGGGAAUGAGUAUUGUUGUGAAGGAGGUGAGUGGGAUAUAUAAAGGGAAGAAUGAGUUAGUAAUGUAAUAAGUAAAAGCAAAAAUAUAUUAAUAGACAACCCUUUAAACAUGAGAUAUAUAAAAAAAGUUAUUGUGAAAUUACAAAAAAAAGUAUUAUAGAAUAAAAACACCAACACUCAAAACACCUAAUGACUAUCAUAGAUAUAUAAAAAAAACUAUUAGUCUAUCAAAGAACAAGUAUAGGCCACAUGAAAAUCAUAAAAUUUUAGAUCUGAUUUCAUUACUAACAUUUAUUGCAUGCUUUAAAAAAAGGUGAUUCAACAUUGGAUUCCACUAUGUUGUACUUUUUUCUUUUUCAAACAAUGUAUUGAAAAGUGGCAUUCGACCAAUGAGCAUAACUAUCAUUGAAUUUUCUUAUAUGAAUUUGCACAAGUGUUUUCUUCUCUCUCAUUUCAAUGUUUUCACUCAUUUCUUUCUCAUUUUUCUCGUACAAUUGACAAGGGUUUUGCUCCAUGAUUGAAUAAUAAUGCAAGUUAGGUAUUACUAGUCCAAAAAUUAAGAAUUCACAUGGGUGGGCUAGUUGUUUAGUUGUAUUGGAAACGUUGAAAAUGAAAUGAGUGAUUGUAUGAAUAAUAAAUACUCAUUUAUUAUCUAAUGCUAUAGGAAUAAAAAGUUAAAAGAAUAAAAAUAUUCUCUAUUUCUAAGAUAACUAGAUCCUAUAAUUUUCCAUACAAAUUAAUUAAAAUAAUAAAUAAAAUUAAAAAAUAUUGCAACUUCGUAAAAUUUAUCUUAAUUUUUUAGUCAUUGUCAUAAUUGUAUAAAAUAUAAUAAUUCAAAAAGAUUUUAAUAAUAUUAAGUUGUUUAAUUUGAAAAAAAAGUGACAUACAAGAGUACUCGUUUUGUUACAAAAUUAUAUAACUUUUUUAAUAAAGGAAAAUUAUUAAAUAAAAAAUAAAGAAUAAAAAGAACGAGGGACACAAAAGCUAACCCACUAAAAACUAGCAAAAAUGAUAGUUGACAUGUCUAACCUGUAAUUCAAUUUUUUUUCAAAAACACAAAUAGGAAGUGAAUAUCACAAACUAUCAUAAUCAAUCAAAAAAUUGACAUUGUCAAAUCUAUCUGCAUAUGCAUUUUUCUCUCUAAAAAUGUGAUAUAUUUUGAAUCUAACGAAAUGUACAAUUUGUAAAUUAUUCUUCCAUUUAACUAAAAGAUAUCAAGGGAUAAUAUUCAUGUUAGGAAAUGCAUGAAUGAGCAACAUUGAGCCAAUUUCAAGUCAAAGAUUUCUCUAAUUCCUCCUAUUAGCAUAUUCGAUAGAAAAUAUGAUUCCAUGAAUUUAGUUUGAAUGGUGGUAUGCAGUUUCUACAUCAUUUCAAACAACCGCCCUAUCAAUUUCCCGAAAAGUAAGGUGUUCCUACAUCUAAGAAAUAAGUGUUAUACAAUUUCUACAUCAUAAUUGCAAAGAGAGCACACCAAAACCACAUGUAUUCCUCUUCCAAUUAGGUUGCCAUAUGUUGUAAUGACAUUAUGCAUUAGCUUCCAAUUCACCAAUAACAAAGCAAGAAGUAUGUUGGGAUGUCAAAUAAAUUUUGUCCAAGAACGCUCAAGGUGAUUCCUCAUAAUAAAGUUGUAGACAUCUUUAAAAGAUAAAGCGCCAUUUGCAGAUCCCGUCCAAACAAGUUCAACAACAAUAAUAUUAUCAAAUGACAAGUUAAUCUUCAAAAUAUUUUCAAAAAUUUGACGAGUCAAAAUGGAUAAGCCACGAGGCAUGUUCCAAUUGAUGUCUUGGAUGAUUGAAUUGACAUUAAAAAUUUGCAUAAAUUGAAUAUCCAAUGGCAAUGGUAUGUGUUGAUAUUUUAAUUUUUACUCAUCUUAUUGCCAUUCCAUAAAUGAACGUUUUUCUCAUUACCAACCAUUUAUUAUGUUCCUCCAUAAAGGAAAAUGAAUCCUAAAUGUCAGACUUUAUUGAAGAACAAAUAUGAUGCACGAUUGGUUUUUUGUUCAUGAAGUAUCUAAUAAUAAACUAAUAAAGUCAUUGAUUAUUGGUAGUUAACAACUUCCAAUAAAGAUAUAAACAACAAUUUUUUUAUUCUCUUAAUAUCUCUUAGCCCAAGAUCUCCAUCAGACAAAAAUGAGCAAAUAACUUUCCAAGAUCUAGUAAUCAACUUUUUAUUGUCUAUGCUUUCUUUCCACACAAAUAUUUUAAUGCAAGAAUCAAGUUUGUUAAGAAGAUUGAUUAAUAAUUCAUAAAUAUUGAGACUAUACAAAGUCAUGCCUUGUAUGACUGACUGAUAAAAAGCUCACAACUACUAUUUCAAAUUUAUUAAUGUAGCGAUUCACAAUGUUUUGGCAAUAAUUUUUUGUUUUUCUGUAAGAGAAAUGAAGGGCAUACUCAAUCAUAUUUAUAAAAGGCUAGUAGACCUUAUGGCAAAGACGAUAAAUUAGAAAUCAUGACCAAUCAUAAGCAUGUUGGCCAAUUAUGAGCAUGACACGUAGCAGUUUGCAUCCAUGCAUAGUAUAUGUCAAAUUUUAUAUUUGUAUCGUUGUAUGAUAACAUUUUGAUCACUCAUCACUACCUAGAUUGCACACAGGACCGUCCCAAUCAAUUUGGAGGCCCUGUUCUAUUUUAAAUUAGAUAUUUAAUAGAUGAAAACACAACAAAUUAAAAAAAACAUAUUUUAUUUAAUUGUAAACAAAAUUAAAUAUAUAGAGACAAAGAUGAUAAAAAAUACUAUGUAGAAAUUUGAUUUAUCGAAGUUUAGUUAUUCACGUCUUUCUUCUCUUACCUUCUUCGAUUUAUAAAAAAAAAAGUUCAUACCAUUUAAUAAAAGAAAAAAAAAUUGAACAAUUUCCACAAUAUUAAUAAUGAAGUGUUUUAUUUAAUAAACAAUCAACAAUGUAAAAUUAUAACUUUUCAAAGUCUCACAACUACUAUUUCAAAUUUAUUAAUGUAGCGAUUCACAAUGAUACAAAAAUAUAAAUAUUUUCAAAAUUACAUCUCAAAAUUUUUCAUAGAUCUAUAAAAUAUAUUAAUAAAAAUUCAAAUUUAUUAAUGUAGCGAUUCACAAUGAUACAAAAAUAUAAAUAUUUUCAAAAUUACAUCUCAAAAUUUUUCAUAGAUCUAUAAAAUAUAUUAAUAAAAGAAAAAAAAUUAAUUAGGUUAAUUAUGAUAUUAAAUUUUAAAUAAAUUUAAAUAUAAUUUAUUUAGACUAUAAGCUGCUGGAUAUGAUAUACUUCAAUAUAUUAAUAAAAGAAAAUAUUUAUUAAAUUAAUUGCAACAUUAAAUUAAAUUUAAAAACAAUAUGGUGACAUUUUUUUAUAAAAGUAAAAAUAUACAUAAAAUGUAAGAACAAGGAAUUGAACCCAGGUUGUAUUACUACCAAAAUAAUAUGGUCACCGCUAGGCUAGACUACAAUCAUAUAUUAAAAUGAAAUUAGAUGUAUAUAUUCGUUAGUCUUAUAUUUAUAUUGACCCAAUCUAUCAAAUUUGGGGCCCUAAAAAGUCGGAGGCCCUGUGCGGUAGUACUCCUCGCACCCCCACAGGGCCGCCCCUGAGUCGUCUCUUUAAGUACUAUAAUGUCGAUACGAGUGGCGGACUAAAGAUAGAGAUGGACACUCGUGAUCGUCGAGUUGAAGUCGAUGUUAUUAACAAAAUGGAUAUAAUAAGGGAUCAUGUUGAUUACUGUCUCAAACAUAAGAGUGAACUAAAUCGUCUAUAUAUGAUUCUUCUCCAUUUUCUUCCUCAGUAUCUACUUUUGCGUUUGAAGGUGGGCCUACAAACUAAAUGAUUAUGGAUGAGUUACUUAGCAUUUGAAGGUUUAUAACUCAACAAUUUGACGGACUUCGUCAGGAUAUGGAUGGUAUCUCACAAAGGCUAAAUGAACUAGACGAAUUUCAGGAGGAUGAUGAUGAUUUUAGUUGCUCGUUUAGCGCUUAUGUCUUAGUUGCAUGCUUUAUGACUUGUUUAUGUUUGUGGUUUUCGUCGUUAUUUGCAUGGUCUAUCUGAAUUAUUUGAUGGUUGUCCUAUGAUUGUUUCAUUAACUAUCAUGUGUGUUUUCUCUAUGUCUUUAUGCUAUGUUUGUUGGAUGCCACAUGAAUUAUUAUUGUUUUUUUUUAUAAUGUUAAAAGGGGCAGAAAAGAUAUGCAUGUUUUUUUUUUGUUUAUCUUAUUUCAGGACACUAAAGCUUUAAUUGCAAAAUAAAGGGGGAGAUAUCAAAUGCUAAACAAGAUAAGGGGAAGUAUCAAAUGUUAAAUAAAAACUAUCAAAUGAUGUAGUUUGUCAUCAUAAAAAAGGGGGAGAUUGUGAAGAAGAUCUCUCCUAUAAUCUUAGUUGAAUUUUUAUAAAUAUAACGACAUCAAAGAAGAAAAAGGUAAAGACCUUAAAUAUCAAAAGCACAAAAUGAAAAACUCAUUAGUUAAAGUCAAAAAUCUUUAAAGUAUUUGUCUUUACAUUUGAUAAAUUACCUUUUAAGUUCAAAUAUCACUUCAAGGCUUAUAAAAACUUGCAAAAUCAAAAAAUAACUUAUUUCCAACAUACAAAAAGAGAAGAUAAAAACCAUUAUGGUAAUUGAUUACCAUAUAUAUGUAAUCAAUUACAUGUCGGUGCAACUUGUUUUCAACGUAAAAGAGGUAAAGAAACACAACAGUAAUCGAUUACCAUCUAUAUUUAAUCGAUUACAUGAUGUUGGAUAUGUAUUUUUUUUCUCACAUUAAAAGCAUGUAAUCGAUUACAUCAACCUGACAACCUUUUUUUUUCACGAACCAGCGUCUUUUUAUGCAUUGUUCAAGUUGUGCAGUGGUUUAUGAUGCCUCUUCAAAGCGUUAUAAUGAUUCAUGGUGUCUUCUUAAAGUCUAUAAAUCCUUGUUUAAUUUCUUUAAAAAAUUAACUUUUACAUAAGAAAUUUACACAUUUAUAAGUGGUUAUUCAAAUUUUCAAGUAUUGAAAAGUUUAUCAAACAUUCUGAAAUCUGAAAGUUUUGAGCCUUAAAAUGAUAUUCUUCUGAAAAGUAAUAUUGAUAAGGAUUAUAUUUUAAUGUUAGGUUUUGGAUUCUUCAGUCUAUAAAAGAUUAUUCUUCAUCUCUUAAGAAUUCGUGUGAUUCUUAAUUCAUCAUAGUGUGUCGUGAAAGAUGAUGUAAAAUAAAAAGUGGUCGUGCUUUUUUGUUUGAGUAUUACGUGUUCAUUGUGAAGAGUCUUGAUGUGAAGAUUGUAAUUAAAAAUCUUGAUACAUAGUGAGAAAUCUCUAAUAAAAAAAGGGACUAGAUGUACCAUUUAGUUGGAGAAAGCAAAUGAGAAUAUAUAUCCUUGUUUAAUUUACACAUUUAUAAGUGGCUAUUCAAAUUUUCAAGUAUUGAAAAUUUUAUCAAACACUCUGAAACCCGAAAGUUUUGAGUCUUAAAGUGAUAUUAUUCUGAAAAGUAAUAUUGUUAAGGAUUAUAUUUUCAUGUUAGGUUUGGAAUUUUUCAACCUAUAAAAGAUUAUUCUUCAUCUCUUAAGAAUUAAUGUGAUUCUUAAUUCAUCAGUGUUUGGUGAAAGGUGAUAUAAAAUAGAAGGUGGUGUACUUUCUUGCUUGGGUAUUAAGUUUUCAUUAUGAAGAGCAGGAUAAUAAGUGUUCAUUGUUCAGAGUCUUGAUAUGAGGCUUGUAAUUAAAAAUCUUGAUACAUAGUGAAAUUUUCUCUAAUAAAAAAAGAGACUAGAUAUACCAUUCAGUUGAAGAAAGCAAACCAGAAUAUAUAUCGUUUGUGUUUCUCUUCUCCCUUGCAUUUUAUAUUCCACAUUUUACUUAUUAUUAUUUUUGGAUUAAUUAUAACUUCACAAACCAGCCUCCACUAAAGUAAAUUGUCCUAAAUAAGCACUUAAAUAAAAAAAAUCUAGCUUCUUAUAUUUUUUGUUUAAAAACCAUGUCAAACAAUUAUAUAUAUAUGUUAUCAAAUUAAUUAAAAAAACUUUUUUAUUCGUACCCAUUUUUAAUGAUAGUGCAAGAAAGUUAGGGAAAACAUAAAGGAGGAUGGAUUUUUAUUUUCAAUUUUCACGUGCAAGACCUUUUCUAAGUUGUUUACAAAUACUUAUAUGCUUCCUAAUGCUAUGAUGCACAUAAAGAAUCCGAGGAUACCGUCCAAUAUACAUUAAUUCUAAAGUAUCGUAAUUUUGACAUCAUACAAAACAUAUCUAACGGAAGUCGCACUCACACAUAUUUCUAUAUUAUUGGAUUCUAUGUUGAUUUAACCAUUGUAUGAACCUUUUUAUCUAUAAUGUCAUUCAAUUGCUUCUUGUUCGUAAUGCUUUUUAUGUGAGAUACUCUUUUAAUCCGAUUUUGGACAUAUAGGGAAUAAUGAUCAUUAGUCUAUGUGUUAAACCCAGGGAAAUUGUUGUACUUAUGUUGGUUGAAUAGAAAUAGGAGACCCCAAGUAGAGGCAUAGGAAAUUAACGUUUUAUACAUCGUCCAACCAUGCUUACGCUGGUGGACUAGAGAUAGAAAGCUCCGAGUAGUAGUUAUUGAGUUAUUUCGUGAGGGAUCUACUAUAACGGUUUUGUUAAUUUGUUGUGGUGUUAUGGUGAUAAGAUCAUUCAUACAUGACAUCAAACAUCAACAAUAGAGAAAUAGGGGAUUAUAGAACACAACCUAACCUCUUUUAUGAUAUUGUUUAAUCGUUUAUUUACUUUUCGCACUGAAACUCGAAAACGCCUUCUUACUAGUUUUCUAUAUAUUGCAGAACACAACCUAACCUCUUUUAUGAUAUUGUUUAAUCGUUUAUUUACUUUUCGCACUGAAACUCGAAAACGCCUUCUUACUAGUUUUCUAUAUAUUGCACACAUAUUGUCUUGCUUGAAGGUAGUCCUUGUGGAUUCGAUCUUUUUACUAUUGCGAAAUUAUCGGUACACUUAUCGAGAAGUCAUCAGUAUCAAAUGCUAAACAAAAACUAUCAAACGAUGUAGUUUUUCAUCAUCAAAAAAAUGGAGAUUGUGAAGAAGGUGUCUCUUAUAAUCUUGGUUGAAUUUUUAUAAAUACAACCAUAUCAACAAAUAAGAAAAAUGAAAGGACCUUAAAUAUGAAAAGCACAAAAUGACAAACUCAUUAGUUAAAGUCAAAAGUCUUUAAAGUAUUUGUCUUUACAUUUGAUAGAUUACCUUUUAAGUUCAAAUAUCAUUUCAAGACUUAUAAAAACUUAUAAAAUCAAAAAAUAACUUGUUUCCAACAUACAAAAAGAGAAGAUAAAAACAAUUAUGGUAAUAGAUUAUCAUACAUAAUCAAUUACAUGUUGGUGUAACUUGUUUUCAACAUAAAAGAGGUAAAAACACAAUGGUAAUUGAUUACCAUAUAUGUUUAAUCGAUUACAUGAUGUUGGAUAUGUAUUUGUUUUUCUCACAUUAAAAGCAUGUAAUCGAUUACAUCAGCCUAACAACUUAUUUUUUCACGAACCAAUGUCUUUUAAUGCAUUAUUCAAGUUCUGCAGUGGUUCAUCAUAGCUCUUCAAAGUAUAAUAAUGAUUCAUGGUGUCUUCUUAAAGUCUAUAAAUUCUUGUUUAAUUUCUAAAAACUUUUAACUUUUACAUAAGAAAUUUACACAUUUAUAAGUGGUUAUUCAAAUUUUCAACUAUUAAAUUUUUUAUCAAACAUUCUGAAACUCGAAAGUCCCAAGCUUUAAAGUGAUAUUGUUCUGAAAAAUAAUAUUGAUAAGGAUUAUAUUUUCAUGUUAGGUUUGAGAUUCUUCGGUCUAUAAAAGAUUAUUCUUCAUUUUUUAAGAAUUUGUGUGAUUCUUAAUUCACCAGUGUUUGGUGAAAGAUGAUAUAAAAUAAAAAAGUGGUGUACUUUCUUAUUUGAAUAUUAAGUGUUCAUUGUAAAGAGUAUGAGUAUUAAGUGUUCAUUGCGAAUAAUCUUGGUGUGAGGUUUGUAAUUAAAAAUCUUGAUACAUAACAAAAAAAUCCUCUAAAAAAAAGGACUAGAUAUACCAUUCAGAUGGAGAAAACAACCCAGAAUAUAUAUCAUUUGUGUUUCUCUUCUCUUUUUUAUUAUUAUUUUUGAAUUAAUUAUAACUUCACAAGUCUCCACUAAAAUAAAUUGUCAUAAAUAAGCACUUAAAUUCAAAAAUAAAUCUAGCUUCUUAAUUUUUUUCGUUUGAAAAACAUGUCAAACAAUCAUAUAUAUAUAUAUAUAUAUUAUCAAAUUAAUUUUAAAAAAACAUUUUUUAUUCAUACCCAUUUUUAGUGAUAGUGCAAGAAAGCUAGGGAAAAAAUAAAGGAGGAUGGAUUUUUAUUUUCAAUUUUCAUGUGCAAGACCAAAUUAUUUGUUAUUGGAAUGAAAAAUUAUGAAACAAUUUUCAAUUGCAAAAAGAUGUUUAACUGUUAAAUUGGUUACAACCAUUCAUCAACAUAACUUUUAAGAUAAUUAUGAUAAAUAUCAAACAUCUUGAAUGAUCAACAAUUAUUAUGAUUAACUAAGAAUGUAAACACUCUACAUUGACAAUAUAUAAAUAAACAAUAAUGGAUGUCAAGAUUGUAUUGUAUAAUUUCAGAAAACAUAUUUUUCAAUAAAAGAGGUUAGAUUGUGAUGCAACCAGCAUUCAAAUCAAAGAAACCUUACUAGAAUUAGUGCCAAGUAAUCAAAUAAGAUAAAGAUUGUUUUUAGAUUCCAAAGACGGCCUUGCUAAUAAAGUAUAUGUUCUACACUGACAUCAAUACUACCAAUAAUAUCAUUUUGGUAAGCAAUUGAAAGAAUCACUGUAACUAAAGUAGAGAUGCAGCUGAUUCACUUACAUAACAUUCCUUCAUCAACAUUGCUUUCAUCAUCUUCGCCAGCAAACUGCAAAAGAACAAAUUGCAUUGUAUAAGAUUUUAAGUACUUGGAGUUGGAGGUUUGUUAAACUCUGCAAAUUAAAAUUACAUGUGACGGGCAAUAAAGUUGACUUACCGGUCUAUCGUCGUCAGAUAUCAAUUCAGCUGCAAUAAUUCCAAUAGAAACUUCAAUCAGACGAGUGUAAUACUCAUAAGUAAAUGAUUUAGUUUUAAUCUUGACGGUUGUUGAACUAAUAUAAAUACUCAUGUUGAACUAGAGUUAAAUUUUGAAAUGACAAUCAAAAAAUUAUUUACGACAAUGAAUGCUUACGAUAUGAUUCUUUGUCUUCCUCGUACCAACGUAGAAUUUGAGAUUUUCUCAAUACACCCCUCACGCCAGCACUAUUGAGAUUAAUACGUAGAUAUAAACGGUAGGUGGUCUAUGGCCCAAUCAAUAGUAUCUGAUACCAUCUUAGAAUUAGAGGUUUGCCUAAUUCUAUUAAAAAAAAUACCUUAGUGGUGAAGUGCUCUUGAAAAGAAGCUUACUUGGCAAUCCAAUCUAGAAGCUAAAAAUAGACCUAACAUACAAAACAUAAUUACAAAUCUUAUCUUGAAUUAGCUGCGCGCCAAAUUUAACAAAUCAAAAACGGAUUACAGAGAGAAACAAAAUUAAAAACUAACAAAAUCAUUCCAGAUCCCAACUUUCUGUCCAUUACCCAAAAAUAGCACUUAAUAAUAUUUUAUUACCGAAUAUAAAAUUCAAAAUCUAUCAGCUUUUUCAAAACAUCAAAAACCCAAGACUCUCUCUGAUUCCAAGAUAUGGCAUCUACAUCACAAAAGAUACUUGUAACCGGCGGGGCCGGUUUCAUUGGCGCUCACACCGUGGUUCAGCUCCUCAAAGAUGGGUUUCAUGUUUCCAUCAUUGAUAAUUUUGAUAAUUCUGCUAUGGAAGCAGUGGACCGUGUUCGUGAAAUUGUUGGUCCAAACCUUUCACAGAAUCUUGAAUUCACACUGGGAGAUCAUCAUUGAUAAUUUUGAUAAUUCUGCUAUGGAAGCAGUGGACCGUGUUCGUGAAAUUGUUGGUCCAAACCUUUCACAGAAUCUUGAAUUCACACUGGGAGAUCUCAGGAAUAAAGAUGAUUUGGAGAAGCUUUUCUCAAAAACUAAAUUCGAUGGUGUGAUUCAUUUUGCCGGGUUAAAAGCAGUUGGUGAAAGUGUUGCAAAUCCUCGUCGUUAUUUUGAUAAUAAUCUUGUUGGCACCAUCAAUCUCUAUGAAGUAAUGGCUACGCACAAUUGCAAAAACAUGGUUUUCUCAUCGUCUGCCACUGUUUAUGGGCAACCUAAAAAGAUGCCAUGUGUGGAGGAUUUUGAGUUACAAGCAACGAACCCUUAUGGACGGACAAAGCUUUUUCUUGAAGACAUCGCACGAGAUAUUUCGAAAGCUGAGCGGGAAUGGAGAAUCAUUUUACUGAGAUACUUUAAUCCAGUUGGGGCACAUGAAAGUGGUAAACUGGGUGAAGAUCCUAGAGGCAUCCCAAAUAACCUCAUGCCUUAUAUACAGCAAGUAGCGGUUGGAAGAUUACCCGAGCUCAAUGUAUACGGUCAUGAUUAUCCUACAAGGGAUGGCUCUGCGGUACGGGACUAUAUCCACGUGAUGGACUUGGCAAAUGGUCACAUUGCCUCCCUGAGAAAGCUUUUCGCAACGGAAGACAUAGGUUGUACGGCUUACAAUUUGGGAACCGGUCGUGGUACAUCUGUGCUUGAAAUGGUAGAUGCAUUUAAUAAAGCUUCUGGUAAGAAAAUCACAUUGAAAUUGUGUCCAAGAAGGCCGGGAGAUGCUAUAGAGGUUUAUGCAUCUACAGAGAAAGCAGAGAGAGAACUCGGUUGGAAGGCCAAAUAUGGUGUGGAGGAGAUGUGCAGGGAUCAGUGGAAUUGGGCAAAGAACAACCCGUGGGGUUACUCAGGGAAGCCUUAAAUCAGCUAGACAAAUACACUACUCAUAUACCGAUAUUUUGUAUAAAAAUAGGCCUCCCAUUGUUAAAGAGUACUUGAAGCAUGUAUAUGUCAAACACUAAUUUUAACCGCUAAUUGAAACCAACAUUCAAUAACUAAUAAAACUAAAUUGCUUAAAUGGCUCAAAUGGCUCAAAAUUCUGAAACGUAAUAGGGUUUUACAAAAUGUUGUUAAACUACAAUCUAAGCCGCGACAUCAAAGGUUUCUAACGUCUCUGCAAUGUAACCAUAAUUGAAACCUUAACAGUAGUCUUUGAAUGUGAUUCACAGCGAUAUAUCAAAUUCCGCGAUUUAAAAACCAACAUUCAAUUUCCUAAUAAACACAAACUGUUUAAAUGACUAUGAAUAUUGAAACUUCAUAGGGUUUACAAACAAAUGAGUCAACAAGAUAUCAUAAAAUAAAGCUAUGAUUUUGAUGGUUGAAAGGAAUGUAGCAAAGACAAUAGUAACAUAAAAUUGAAAUGAGGCAAGGCUAAAACAAAGCAAUAGUGCAAGUAAUAAUAGCUUUUCUUCAUAUAAAAGUUUGAGAAUUCAGAAAGAAAAAAAAAGUAAAAGGAAAGAGAAAAAAGACACUAACAUUUGUCAUCUUCUCAUCUUUGUUUCCAGCAACAGAACAGACGAAAGUUUGUUGAGCGAAAACUUUAGACUCUCUAAUUUUAACUUUUCAAGAACUUGAUGAUUUUGCUUCUGAGUCUGUUCAUGUUUUAUAUUGUAAUCGGAAAGAAAGGGGUAGUAAAUUGUUUUCAUGGGUUAAUGGUGUUGCUAUUAAUUUAGAUGUUUGAGUAUUUUAAUUUAUUUAUCCCUAUUAGUCUUACAUAUGUAUUGUCUUUGGUACAUUUGAAGGUAUUAAAGAAAUGAAAAAGUCUUUAUUUUUAUAGCUAGCGUUUUAUCUUCUUCUCAGCUUUAGAGUAUUAAGGUUUUCUAAUAGUUUUGAUAGUGCUCACUUUUAGAAGAGUUUAUGAUAUAUCCUUCCUCCAAAGAAUUUAAAUCAUGUUCAAUUUAAUGACCUAGAACUUCAAUAUGUCUAUCUUGUCAUGCAAGCAUUUGCUGCUUCAGAAAGAUUGAGAAUGUGAUUUACCAUAUGCACAUCUUAUUACUCGUCUCCAGGAUCGUCCCAAUCAAUUUGGAGGUCCUGUUCUAUUUUAAAAUUAGAUAUUUAAUAGAUGAAAACACAACAAAUUAAAAAAAACAUAUUUUAUUUAAUUGUAAAUAAAAUUAAAUAUAUAAAGACAAAGAUGAUAAAAAAUACUAUGUAGAAAUUUGAUUUAUCGAAGUUUAGUUAUUCGCAUCUUUCUUCUCUUACCAUCUUCGAUUUAUAAAAAAAAGUUCAUACCAUUUAAUAAAAGAAAAAAAAAUUGAACAAUUUCCACAAUAUUAAUAAUGAAGUGUUUUAUUUAAUAAACAAUCAACAAUAUAAAAUUAUAAAUUUUCAAAGUCUCACAACUACUAUUUCAAAUUUAUUAAUGUAGUGAUUCACAAUGAUACAAAAAUAUAAAUAUUUUCAAAAUUACAUCUCAAAAUUUUUCAUAGAUCUAUAAAAUAUAUUAAUAAAAGAAAAAAAAUUAAUUAGAUUAAUUGCGAUAUUAAAUUUUAAAUAAUAUUAAAUAUAAUUUAUUUAGAUUAUAGGUUGCUGGAUAGGAUAUACUUCAAUAUAUUAAUAAAAUAAAAUAUUUAUUAAAUUAAUUGCAACAUUAAAUUAAAUUUAAAAACAAUGUGGUGGCAUUUUUUUAUAAAAGUAAAAAUAUACAUAAAAUGUAAGAACAAGGAAUUAAACCCAAGUUGUAUUACUAUCAAAAUAAUAUGGCCACCACUAGGCUACACUACAAUCAUAUAUUAAAAUGGAAUUAUAUAUAUAUANUAUAUAUAUAUAUAUAUAUUCAUUAGUCUUAUAUUUAUAUUGAUCCUAUCUAUCAAAUUCGGGGUCUUAAAAAGUCGGAGGCCCUGUGCGGUAACACUCCUCGCACCCCCACAGGGCCGCCCCUGAUUGCACAUACACGUGUAUGAGUAUCAAAUACAAAAGAAAUAUUGUACUUGAAUACCAUACAACAAAUAUCUUCAUAUUUAGCACGAUUAUGACUAUUAAUUUUACUUAAUUUCUACAAUCGGUACAACAUAAUGUUAGUCGAAAGAAGAAGUCAAGUUCAAAUACUUUUAUAAUAUCAUAUAAUAUCUUUUCAAUUUGACUUACUUGUGCUUCUUUAGAAAACCAAUAAUGAACCAAUUCACAAUAUUGAUAUGAGUCAACUCGACGAUCUGUUACAAAUGAUACGACUUCUUCUUCCAUUUUACUUGGCUCAAAUGUCGAGCAGCACAUGAUGUUUCUUCUUCCUUUUUUUUUUCAUCCGAAAGUGUUUCCUCCCUGUAACCACACAAAGGAAGAGAACCAAAAUCAAAUCCAUUUCAAAACCAUAUAUCAUCUGAGAAACACAUGAUGUUUAUAUAUAAAUUUAGUAAUAGUGAAUCAAAAGAAGUAGCAACAUAAUUUCAGUUAUUUUAUUUGCUUGUCAAUUUUAAUUAUUUGAGAAACACAUGGUACUUAGUUAUAUUAUAGAUAGUAUCUGCGAUACGGUGAACUGACUUUGUGUUUUUGCUUUGAAAAGUAAUGUUGCGGAUAGCAAGAGUCGCCACCGACUUUUCAUUUAUCCAAUAAGGAAAGGCGGAAAAGAACAGGAAAGACCUUGAUUAGAUUUUGAGUUCGGGAGGUACAUUAUACAAAGGGAAGGUGUUAGCAUCCUUUGUAUCCAUGGUUAUCCAUGGGCUCUUAAUUGCUUAACUCACUUAUGUUUUCCUUGUUUGAGAAAGCGUUUGAGAAAUAUGGUGUGUUUAGAAAAUAUUUUGAAAGGAGAGUUUAACUUUGUAAUGAUUCUUGUACGAAUGUAUACAAAGUGUUUAUCUCGUUUGAUUUUUUGCAUAGGGAAUGUCCUAGAAUCUAAGUCCAUUUGUCCAUUUUUGCAUUGGGUCCACAACAAUCAAAACAAAACACAAGCACAAUAAUAUAUACACAAUUAUUUGCUCAAGUGAGCAAAAGGAAAAUUGCAUUAACAUAAACAUGUGCUCAAAUGAGCAAAAGGGAAAAACCAAAUGAAUAAUAUUGUGAUACGGUGAACUGACUUUGUGUUUUUGCUUUGAAAAGCAAUGUUGCGGACAGCAAGAGUCGCCACCGACUUUUCUUUUAUCCAAUGAGGAAAGGCGGAAAAGAACAGGAAAGACCUUGAUUAGAUUUUGAGUUCGGGAGGUACAUUAUACAAAGGGAAGGUGUUAGCACCCUUUGUAUCCAUGGUUAUCCAUGGGCUCUUAAUUGCUUAACUCACUUAUGUUUUCCUUGUUUGAGAAAGUGUUUGAGAAAUGUGGUGUGUUUAGAAAAUAUUUUGAAAGGAGAGUUUAACUUUGUAAUGAUUCUUGUACGAAUGUAUACAAAGUGUUUAUCUCGUUUGAUUUUGAAAGAUGUUUAGAAAAAUAUAACUCGGCGAUGAUUCUGGUGCGAAUGUAUACCAAGUGGUGAUUUUCUAAAAGAUGUUUUGAAAAGUGUGAGGUGUGAAAAGUAUUUUAAGCUGUGAGCAAGCAUUUAAGAGUUAUACCUAACCAAGGUCUUUAUAGGUAUUUCCUAUCCUUAGGAGGGUAAAACUGUCCUUACUAUUGAGAAGUAAGUAGUCUUAUCCUUUGGAUGUAAAGGGACAUCGUGGGGUCGUCGAUUGGUCAUUGAAGGCAACAUUUGUAAGGAUACCUUAGCAUUCGAAGGGACGAUCAUCAUUUAAUCGUAGGCUACAACGAAGGGUCAUCGAGGGACAAAGUCAUAUAUUCGAAGGCAACGUUCGAGGGACAAGGUCAUAUAUUCGAAGGCAACGUUCGAGGGACUAUGAUUUAUCUUGUAGGGACAUUGACCUUUUGAUCGAAGGGACUAUGACUUAUCUGUUUAGGGAUGAUGAUGAUUUAAUCGAAAGGGUCUUUGCUAAGGGUAUCCCCACAUUCGCGGGACAUGACCGUAAUAUCGUAAGGCAACAAAGAGAGGGUUACCCUAGAGGUGCAAGUGUGGAAAUGAUUGGAUUCGGAUAUAUUAUCUUGAAUUAAUUUAUCUAAGUUCGAUUAUUUAUCUUUCCAUGCAAUCCUAUUAGCAUACAUGUAGACAGUUAUAUUCACAGUAUGGGAAAAUUAAAGUGCGAAAAAUAAGACUACGCUAUUACAUGGCUUCGGGAUGGGGGUACAUAAUUUAAAAGGGGAUAUAAAAAUACUGAAAAGCUAAAAAAAUAGGUCCUGGGGGCUAAAACCCAGGACCUCUACGUUGCAGUGAGGGGGGAGCUACCAACGAGCCAUGUUGGUCCAUUCGUUAUUUAUUCGCCUUCAUUAAAAUAUAUAUUAAUUCUACAUGGAUUUUUCCAUUUUGACACAACACCACCAUGCAUGUUACAGCUUUCUCUCUUACGGCAAGCUACUUUAUUUUUUCUCAUGCUGUUUCUUUCAUGUGAAUACAACAAACCUGUAACUUCAUCUUAUAUCAAACCACACACAUAAAAUAAGAUCAUAUGUAAUCAUCAUGCAAUAAUAAAAAUAGCCAUGCACAAAUCAAGAAGCUUAUAUUAUUUUACUCAUGUAUUAGUUCUCUUUACUGCAAGUGAUAAUGAUAAAACAAACCUUACACAUACAUGUUAAAGACAACCAAGGAUUUAUAUUAUCACCGUUAUAUCAUCAUCAUUAUUAUGUAAUAACAGCAUGUGAAAUAAACAUAAUCAUGCUAGAAACAACACUCAUAUAAUAAUAAUUAAAUGGCAUAUAUAAUUCUUUAAUCAUGCAAACAGAAUUUCUCCAACAUGCUAUGACAUAUCAAGAACAGAUGCAUACUUGAAUAAAGCAAUAUCAACAUCCACCAAACCAUGAAUACAUCAUCUCAAUAUAUAUAUUAAACCAAUAUUAUUCAUGCAUGAAUUAAGGAGUAUUGCAAGGUAAUCAUGCUGGAUGCAAAUUCCAUAAUGAACACUUAUCGGGGAUUUGAUUUUUCUAGCUUGCUCACUGUAUGUGUGUUGUUCUUAUUCAGGCUAUGAGUGCUUUAUGGUUGCUUCUCUUUUCCCUGCCCGUGAAUCUUCUUGCUUCUGUCUUUCCUUGUGUAUCUUCUUCUGUUGUAUCUCUCCUCUUUUUCCGUCUCUUUUUUCUCGCUGCAGCCAUAUGAAGUAUUUAUAAUGGUGUGGGUUAGGGUUUAACCUUGCUAAAUAUUUGGAUUCCUUCCUAUAUUUUAGGAUCUCACCCUAUAAUGAUGUGGAUUAGGGUUUAACCUUGCUAAACAUUAGGGUUCAACCAAAAUUAUUUUAUAAUUUAUGGGCUUUUUAAAAAAAUGUUACUCUUAUAAAUAAAUUUUAUUAAGUAAAAAACGUGAAUUACUAAAUAAAUACUUUUUAUAAAUAAUGAAUAAAUGGAACAUGAGUCACUAAAUUAUAAAAAAUAGUUAUUAUAAUUUAAUGAGCUUUAACAAAUAAAAUUAAUUAAAAAUUUUAAUUAUACAAUUAAAAUUCAAAUCUAUUUUUAUUUAUCAUUAAAUUAAAACUAUUUUAUUUAUAUACAUAUAAAAUUUAUUUAUAUCAUACAGAUAACCAAAAUUAUUAUUAUUUUUUAUAUCUGUAUCACAUAAUAAAUAAAUUAAAAUUUAUAUUAUAUGAGAAUGUAUGCUAAUGAAUGAAUGCAAAUGUAAAAUGAAUGUCAUGCAUGAAUCAAUUUAUCAUAAAAAUUAACAGGCAAAUUUUGGAGUAUGACAAUAUCAUUAUGCAGUAAUAUCUACUCUACAAGUUACAUUCAAAAUGAGGAAUACAACUAAUGUCAAAAGAGUAGCAGUAAUUACUCUACUAUAUAAGCAAGACUAACAAAUAUUAACUCCUUAUUCCAUUUGAAGAUCAGACUAAUAAUCAAAACAUUUUAUGGAAAAUUUUAUUUAACUUGACUCUGCUUUAUGUACAAGUGAUUGGUUAUUUUUAUGCUUCAUAUCAAAUAUUACUAAUAAUAGUAAAUAAAUAUUUCAACUAAACAACUAAGUCGCACAAAGUUAUAGAGAAUAAAUAUUUCAACCCGAAUAAAUUGUAUCUUCUGACACAAAAAAAAAAGCAUAUUAAUAAAGUUUUUGUCCAUCCUUAUUCAUACUUGUUUUAUUUAAAAUCACCAUCAAUCAAAUUAAACAUCUAAUUUGAUUACCACCGUCAUCAUUUAAUAAUUAAAUCUAAAUUCCCAUUGUCCUCAUUGUUCAUAAUAUUCUUGUCAUACCCCAAAAUUUGUCCUCCCCUUUUUUUCUUUACAUCUCCAUCUAACCAUCUAACUAGAGUUCAAUUGCAUACAUUAAAUAACUCAUGCAUAAGUAUCAUUCAUUAACCUGGGUUCCAAGUGUUGGACUUACAGGGCUUUGGUUUAUCUGUACAACAACUGGAGAUGCUUGGUUUGGACUUGCUGUGAGGCACUGAGGCCUCCAAAACCCUAAUCUCAGGCAAUCUCAGGUGAUGUGUCGCACUUAGCAUCCGGUACUUGGUCCGUCCUUUGUGUCCCUUUGGAUGCUCGAGUCUCUUGGUCAUAAUCCAAAUCCUUGGUCUCAUAACUUCCAUCUUCAUUCAUUCACUUAAUCAUGGUCAUACCACCAUUGCUUGGUCCGUAAGGUCAUGUUCCCCGCUUCCAGGCGUCAAUUGCAAAUCUCGGGUUUAAUUUGUGGUCGUGUUCAUAUAUUGAGUCAGAUCAUUUUCAUUCAAUUGGUCAAAUACGUUCCUUUUAUCCCUAGAACAAAAAAUAUGAAAAAAAGGUGUAACAUUCCAAAAACUCAUUUUUGGAGGUUUUUAGCCCUAUGAGUCGACUCACGACUCAGCGCAAAACCCCUGGGUCCAAACAGGUCGACCCACCGGUCAACGCAAUUAUGGGCAGAUUGAGUGAGUCGACUCACUCAUCCUUUACGUCGAAUCAUGCUCCUCCUUUCUUUGGACCUGGUUCCCUCGGGUCGGAACAGGUUUACCUACAGGUCGACUUAAUGUUGGAAAUUCAUGAUUGAGUCGACUCACCCGUAACUUGCAUCAACUCAUCUCCAUUUCUUCUUUCAAUCAUUUCGCCGCGGGUCCAGAUAGAUCAACUCCCCGGUCGACUUAACCCUGGAAAAUCACUGUGUGAUUCGACUCAUGCCCUGUUUGAGUCGACUCAUGGCUUGUUCUGCAGGAUUUUACACCACUGUUAUGAGAAGAGGACUUUUGGGAUGAAACAUGAUCCUUCAUCAUUGAGGCUUGCAAUCCAAGACGAGUAGACCCAUGCAUAUACACCGGGAAGAUCAUGAGCAUCCGACGACACUUCGAUAUGUGGUACUUUGCAUUGUGAACACAUCAAACCUGCAGUAAAACAAGUGCAGUAAAAUCCACCAACACUUCAACUUGCACAAUCAUAACCAAAGCCAAAAUCACAUAAGACAACACAACCACUAUUAACCUACAAUAGCAGGUCAUUAGCCAACAUUAAAGCUUAACUUGAUUCAAAUUUCCACCUAAAAUCACCAGUCACUUGAACACAUUUCAUUAAAUGAACACAUUAACUAACCUACAAUCCAGUGAGUUAACUACCUAAACACACUGAGUUCAUCCCAACUAACUCCAAACCUCUUUUAACUAACUCCGAGCCUAACUCCAAGCCUUAGAGGUCUCAAUCCUAAUCCCUAUAAAUUCCCAUCUUCACCAUCAUUUAUAGGCUCCAACCAUUCACUUCAUUUUCACUAUUACCUCACUUUUCUAUAAACAUUACCUUCAACUUUUCUCACUUCAUCUUCUCCAAUUCUUCACCCUACACCAAAGCUCUAACCACCAUUGGAGAAAGCUUCACAUUGAAGUUUAUUAUCAACUAAGCUAAACCUCUCACACUCAACAAUCAUCCAUACAUUCAUGGGAUCAACAUCGACAACAACGAUCCGAUUCAGAACUUUUUCAGAAUUGAUUCUUGAGGAGGACGAGUUUGUAGUUGAAGGAGAAGAUUAAAGUAGCAUAUUUUUGUUUUUCUCCUUUUCAUCUUCAUCACUUCCGAGUUUCAACAAACUCAAAGACAAACCUCAGUCUUGCAGGUCGGUGAAUUUUUACUCUUGUCAAACUAUCGAUAUCACCAUGUAGCUUGUGUAGUGGGGAAUCGAAAACCCCAAUGGUUGGCGGUUCGAUUUUCCUUAAUCGCCAUUUCCGUUCAAUUUCGGAUUCUUGACGUGAAUUUAUUAAUUUCCAAUUGUUGAGCUGUAAUUAGGACAUAAAGGUUUGAGAGGAGCAAGAAUUGAUUUUCUUCUUGAAUCCGGCCAACUCGGCCGCCUCCGACGCGGUGGUGCCGAAAUUCCGGAGGUGAUUAUGUUUUGCCUCCAUGCUUGGAUUGUUUGACUAUUCCAAGGAGUGUUCACCCCAUAUCAUUCAUUACCACAUGUAGCGUUAACAUGCAUGCGGAUAGCAUUUUUUUCGUCUUCGUUAUUGUGCUGCAUUCCUACUUACUAUGUUGUUUUCAUACCCUUGGCCUAACAUGGUUCAUCUUAAUCGUGAUAAUCUCAUAAUUGAUUUAAUCAAGUCUAUAUUUAAUUCUGUUUUUGGUGUUAAUCGUGAUGCAGUUUUUGUAUGGAAUAGUCUUUAAUUCCUAUUUUUUUUACACUUAGGAUUCACAUAAUUGUAGUGGUAAAUAGCUUAAUUCACGUUCAUUUAAGAAUUAGGUAACUAGUUAGAAAUUAGGCUUACUCAUGUGUAUGCAGACUCAUUGCUUAAUUUUUUUAGAAUUCAUUUUUCAUGUGAUCAACCAUGCUAUGUUUAGAAUUUAACUUGGUUUGCCAUGCUAAUUUCCAUGUACAUGAGUAAUCUCACUUUGACUUGGUGACGUUUUAUUUGUGGUUAGUGGUUGAACUGAAGUUUCAUUUCCUUUUGGUUUGAUAUACGUUUGUUCAUCAUGAUUAUCAUAUCGCACCAUGCUAUCACCAUACCCUCCCAUUCAUUUGAAUUAUCAUUUCAAUUCCUUCUUAUUUGAUGCAUACUAACCGUUGUUGUUUUGUGGCGACAUGUGAAUAAGAAACCUCAACACCGUCCAAGUUCUUUUAUUUUCACUCAUUAGUUUGUAGUGUGCGAAGUGACAUGCCACUUGUAUGGUUUAGCCAUGGCACAUGAGUUGUAAAUUGUAUUUCCCUUUCAUGCCUUCAUGUUGUACUAUGUGGAUCCAUCCCCCCAUCAUGGGUUAAAUGUUCCCCCAUCCCAUAGUCAUGUAAUAGCUUAGAUUUAUUGCUUUCUAGUUAGUUCGCCAUGCAUGCUAAUAACCAAGAUAAAAUGCAAAAUGAUAAACAAAGCAUUUCCAAGAGAAACAAAAAAGGCUUGAUUCAACGUCAAGUCAUUUUUCGCAUAAAACUCACACCAUUGCAACGCGAAUACUCGAUUCAACAUCAAGUAUUCCCCAUCCGUUCCAUUUUUUGCAUCUCUUCUCCCUUCUCUCCUCAACCUCAUCUUAUCUCCUACCCUUUACAUACACUCUUUUUCAAUAAGUAAACCCUUGAUCCAACGUCAAGCGAUCUUUUCUCAAAUAAAACUCAAAAACACAAUAAAUACGAUUAGGAUUGUGCGUCACGAGCCUUAAGUGGUAAAGAAGGGAUGAGAAUGGAGCUUUCCUACACUCGUUUUGAAUGCUUCGAACACAAGGCGUUUGGCUUGGUAGUAUGAGGUAUUCACCUUUAUCCAUAGCCUUUAGUGCAAUCCAAAAUCAAUAACACAUUUCUCGAAACCUAAAAACAACUCAACACAUUCAAACCUUUUGUGUGAGCCUUAGGGCGACACCAUCGAAAACCCUUCUUCAAGGUAAUAAAAACAAAAAAACAAACAAACCUUUUAUACCCACGAACUACAGGGCUCUGAUUCCUCACUUCAACAAGUGGGUAUACGUAGGCACAAGGACCCAAUCCUUGGCGAGCACACUAAAUUAAAAUCUACCUCCAAUCCACAAACCUUUGGUAAGCAAACAUUUCGAUAAACAACAUCCAUUCAAGCACAAACAUCCUAGAUGGUUCCCAUGGAGUACCAUGGAUGUGAGGGGUGCUAAUACCCUCCCUUGCAUAACCGACUUCCGAAUCUGUUCGUGGUUGCGAUGACCAUUCUUUGGGGUUUUCUCGAUAUUUCCCUUUCCUUUGGAAUAAAUAAAAACCGAUGGCGACUCUGUAUUUUUUCGCGUAGCGACAACUGGCGACUCUGUUGGGGACACCUCCCUAAGCAAGUCAAGCCUAACCUAGGUUGCUUCCCCGCGUGUCUCGAUAUUUAUCCUUUUCAUUAUUUGCCUUAUUCAUUGCCUUUCGCUUUAAGUUUUUUAAUAUCUGUUACUUGGUUCCAUGAUCCUAUGAUACCGAAUGGAUGGCACUUUGAUUGCAAGAAACCUUAUGGGAAAGACUUUCUAGCCGAGUCUAGAGUGGAACUUAAGGUAUGAGAGGUUCAGUAGUAUGGGCCACCGAGAAGCUUUUCUCGUAAGGGUCGAUACUAGAACCUCGCUUAGAGUAGAUUCUUUUGGAGAUGUUGACGAUCGUAAAGAUUUUGGCGUAAGCGAUCGAUGUCUUCAUUAGGAUCAAUGACUCUAAGGACCUUUGUAUAACAUUGAACCUUUGACCAAUUAAUAUUGAUGGUCAAGUAGUGCGGGUCCCCGAGAAGAUUUUCUCGCGAGGGUCGGUACGAAGAUCUCACUCAAAGUAGUGAUUUUCUUUUGGAGGGUUGGCAAUGAUUCUAGUACGAAUGUAUGCCAAGUGGUGAUUUUCUAAUAGAUGUUUUGCAAAGUGUGAGGUGUGAAAAAGUAUUUUGAGUCGUGAUUCAGCAUUUAAGAGUUAUACCUACUUAAGGUCUUUAUGGGCAUUUCCUAUCCUCAUGAGGGUAAAAUUUUCCUUACUAUUGAGAAGUAAGUAGUUUUAUCCUUUGGAUGUAAAAGGGACAUCGUAGGGUCAUCGAUUGGUCAUUGAAGGCAACAUUUGUAAGGAUACCUUAGCAUUCGAAGGGACGAUCAUCAUUUAACCGUAGGCUACAACGACGGGUCAUCGAGGGACAAAAAUCAUAUAUUCGCAGGCAACAUCCGAGGACUAUGAUUUAUCUUAGAGGGACAUGAUGAUUUAAUCGAAGGGUCUUUGCUAAGUGUAUCCCCACAUUCGCGGGACAUGACCGUAAUACCGUAAUCGUAAGGCAACAAAGAGAGGUCCAAGAUCACAUAUUCAAAGGCCAUAUUUUAUAAUCAAUUAGGUAAUUAGGAUGAAUCUCCACAUUAUAAUCAAUUAGGUAAUUAGGAUGAAUCUCCACAUUAAAAUCAAUUAAGUAAUUAGGAUGAAUUUCUCCACAAGGGUAUCCCACAAAUAAAGUGGAAUACCUAGCCAGCUACCUUUUCCGGGAGUAUGUGAACCCUUACAAAAUUCAGCAAACAGGUCAGAAUACCAAAUCAGGGUGCAAUCGAGAAUUACACCAAACAAAAGGAAGCACAACAGUAAUAGGGUCAGGUAAACAAUGCAUGGCUAUGAUAAAACAUGUCAGAUGAGCAAAGAUCAGAACAGAAAAGUCAGCGACUGUCACGUUCGCUGCUGCCUCACCUAGCGAGGGCUUAGCGAAGUGCUAGCGAACGGCUGCGGGUUUUGAAUUUAAGAACAGUACGAUUUCAGCGAGCUCCAAACCCUAUGACACCCAUUACAGAAAUUACAUGGUUAAACAUUCAAGACAUCCAUGCAUACUUAAAUCCACAUGCAAAACUUAAGAUAUUUUUAUAAAUUCAAUCAUAACGCCACAUGUAAAUUAAGAGCAUAAAGCGGUAAUGGUAGUGCAAACCUGUUUGCAAUUGAAUUGCAACGUUGAAUUGGCAGAUCACUCUUAGGGUUGGUACCGGAUUGAGUUGGGCGGAGGUAACCUUUGUGCAGAUGAGUUUCCUUCAGGGUUUCCUUUAGGGUUGCUCUGAAUUCUCUGGGUUAGCCUCCAGGGUUUGAAUUGGCAGAUCACUCUUAGGGUUGGUACCGGAUUGAGUUGGGCGGAGGUAACCUUUGUGCAGAUGAGUUUCCUUCAGGGUUUCCUUUAGGGUUGCUCUGAAUUCUCUGGGUUAGCCUCCAGGGUUUGCUCUCUGUGGGUGUUUGUGUUCCCCUCUUUCUCCUCUUUCCUCCCUUUGGCUCUGACUGAAGUUGUGGUAUUUAUAAUGAAUUUUGUGACCUAAUGGGCUCAGAAUGAAGCCCAAAAUUUCUGGUGUUCGCCAGCUUCGCUAGGCGAGUGGUGUAGCGAAGGGUUCGCUAGGCGAAGGAUCUUGCUCGCCUAGCAAGCAAGCCAGUUUAAGCCAUUUUCUGGAUUUGGCCACCUGUGUGCUAGGUCUUUGUUCCCUUGAGAUCAUUGUCUUGAAAAAUAAGUUGGAGUGCCUUGAAAAGUGCCUUGUAAUAUUAACGGGCAAAUUUUGGGGUAUGACAGAAUCCCAAAUAAGAUCAUCACAGACAAUGUGUCUAAUCUCAAUAGCAAGAUGAUGAAAGAAUUGUGUAAAGAUUUAAAGAUCGAGCAACAAAAUUCGUCGUCGUGUCGCCCGAAGAUGAAUGAGGCAGUCGAGGCAGCCAAUAAGAACAUCAAAAAGAUCGUUCAGAAGAUGGUGCAGACAUACAAGGACUGGCAUGAAAUGCUUCCAUUUUCCUUACAUGGAUAUCGUACGCCAAUACAUACUACUACUGGGGCAACUCCGUUCUCUUUAGUGUACGACAUGGAUGCAGUACUGCCUAUCAAAGUAAAGAUUCCUUCAUUGAGGAUAUUAACAGAUGUCAAGUUGGACGAAGCCGAAUGGGUACAAGCAAGAUAGGAUCAACUUAAAGUCAUCGAUGAGAAGCGCAUGGCAUCCAUAUGCCACAGUCAGCUAUAUUAGAGGCGGUUGAAGAGGGCUUUUGAUAGAAAAGUUCAUCCUCGAAAUCUUGAGGUUGAAGACUUGGUAAUAUGAAAGAUUCUGCCAAUCCAUCCAAAUCCGCGUGGAAAAUGGACACCCAACUACAAAGGUCCAUACAUAGUGAGAAAGGUCUUCUCCGAAGGAGCCUUAAUCUUAUCAACUAUGGAUGGUGACGAUCUCCCAUCCCCCAUAAAUGCAGACGCAUUAAGAAAGUACUUCGCCUAAUAAAUCCACUAAGUUGACCCCUAGGGGCAAGUUAGGCAAAAAAGGGUAUCCCGAUGGACCACAAAAAGAAAAGUCCAUGCAAAAAUUAGGGAUAAAAUGGAAAGAAUGAAUAAACCCGCUAAGUUGAUCCCUAGGGGCAACUUAGGAAAAAAAGGGGCAUCCCGGUAGGUUGAAAACCCGAAAGGGUAACCUAGGCAAAAAUUAGGGAUUGUUUAAAGGCAAGUGACUGUAGUCUGGGGAAGACCUUCAUACCCCGUCGUCCCGAGCAUAAGAAUUCUGGAAAAGAAGAAUCAAUCCAAUCACCGUGUUCAGAGGCGAAGGAAAAGGACCACUGAGGACAUAUGGGCUAUAGUAGGAUGAGGAAUCAAUAGACGCUCAAGUCAUUGCCAUUGUAUUUUCCAUUUUUUUGCAAUUACCUAUUUAAGGAAUUGCUUCCUGUUGUAAAUCACCCAUUUUGCAGGUUCAUCAUCAAUAAAAGAAUUGUCAUUCAGGUAUGCCCGGUCUUUUACAUUUUUCUGUUCGUUUGCAAAGAUGAAUAAAAUUUGUUAAAAAAAUAAUGCUUUGAAAAUAUGGGGAAAUAAAAAUAAAGUAUUCAAAGUAAACAGGAAUUUGCUUUUCCGUGUAAAAGGAUUCGAAGGAUAUUCACUGUGUUCAAGACGCGAUGUCCUGAUACGCGAAGAACCUUUAUCGACUCGCGGGUCUCACCCUGAUUCGGAUAAUUCCUCACAGAGGAUGGCAGUUAGCCUGAUGGCUCAAGUCCAGCCCGGAUAUUCCGGAAGGUCCAGAUCUUGUGAGAUCAUCUUCGUGGUAUCCAUGGAGACUGGAAUGUUGGGAAGUCAACCCCCUCACAAAACCCAAUCACUCUCAACCCAGACACAUCUAGACUAUUGCGUUUCUGCAUAAACAAUCAUGCAUUACAUAACAUUGCAUCGUGAAACGUGUAGCAUAUUCCAUCAAAAUGGGGAAUUACGCCUUGUAAAGUACACAUGCAUAACUGCAUAAAAGUCUUUCUCGACAACAUAGAAGAAUCCUCCGCUGAGACGUUCUUCUCCCCAGUUGAGAACGUCGUCCUAGAACCUUGGAUUGGUAUCCCCGCAGGUUUCUCGAAGUCUCUCCUUAGCAAAUACCUUGGGAAUAUUCAACCAACUACUCACCUUUCGUAAAUGGUCCACUGCCUUUUGCCUGGGUUGACCCCCUUUUCUUCUCGACACUUGUCCGUGUUGAUCUCCAGGGAAGCCGCCAUUCUUGACACUCGUCCGUGUUGAUCCUUGCUUCUUCCAAUACCCGUCCGUGUUGAGAUUUACACUCGUCUGUGUUAAUCAUUUCUUUUUCAGUACUCGUCCAUGUUGCUUGUCAAUACUCGUGUGAUGAUCAUUUCAUUUCAACACUCGUCCGUGUUGAUACCUCUUUCUUCAACACUCGUUUGUGUUGUCCUUUUAAUACUCGUCUGUAUUGAUCUUCAACGCUCUUCCGUGUUGUUACUGUUUCCUUCGAUACUCGUCCGUAUUGAUCUUCAACACUCAUCUGUGUUGGUUCUCUUUUUCAAACACUCGUCAGUGUCGAUCCUUUCUCCUUUUAAUACUCGUCUGUAUUUACCCCCGAGAAUCGCCCAAGAGGGUUCAUCUUUCUUCAAUACUCGUCCGUAUUGAUCUCCAACAUCCGUACAUGUUAAUCCUUUCCCGACACUCAUCCGUGUAAAUCGUUCCUUUCCUCGAAUAAUCGCCCACAUUGAGAUUUACACUCGUCUGUGUUAUCCCUUUCUUUUUCAAUACUCGUCCGUGUUGAUCACAUCUGUUUCAAUACUCGUCCGUAUUGACCCCCGACACUCGUCCGUGUUAAUCGUUCCUUUCUUCGAAUACUCAUCCGUAUUGAGAUUUACACUCGUCCGUGAUGAUCGUUUCUUUUUUCAAUGCUCGUCCGUAUUGAUCGUUAUUAAUUUUAAUAUUCGUCCAUAUUGGUUCACGAUACUCAACCGUAUCAAGCAUCCGCACUUGUCUGUGUUGUUACCUUUUUUAAUAUUCGUUCGUAUUGAUCUUCAACACUCGUCCGUGUUAAUCAUUUCUUCUUUCAAUACUCGUCCGUAUUGAUCUUCAAUACUCGUCCAUUUUAAUCAUUUCUUACUUCAAUACUCGUCUGUAUUGAUCUUCAACACUUGUCAGUGUUAAUCAUUUCUUCUUCAAUACUCGUCCAUAUGGAUUUUUAACACUCGUCCGUGUUAAUCAUUUCUUUUUCAAUACUCUUCCGUAUUGAUCUUCAACACUCAUCCGUGCUAAUCAUUUAGUCUUCAAUACUCGUCCUUAUUGAUCUUCAACACUCGUUCGUGUUAAUCAUUUCUUCUUCCAAUACUCAUCCGUAUUAAUCUUCAACACUCGUCUGUGUUAAUCAUUUCUUUUUCAAUACUCGUCCGUGUUGAUCUUCAACACUCGUCCGUGUUAAUCAUUCCUUUUUCAAUACUCGUCCUCAUUGAUCUGCAACACUCGUUUGUGUUAAUCAUGCCUUUUUCAAUACUCGUCCGUAUUAAUCUCCAACAUUCGUCCAUGUUGUUCCUUUUUCUAACGCUCAUCUGUGUUAAUCUUUCCCUAUUUCAAUACUCGUUCGUGUUGAUCCCCAGUGGAGCCCCUAUUUUCGACACUCGUCGGUAUGGAUUCCUUCCUUUUUUCAAUAUUCGUCUGCAUUGAGAUUUAACAUUCGUCUGUGUCACCCCUUCCUUCUUCGAUACUAGUUCGUAUUAACCUUUAACAUUCGUCCGUAUUGUUAUCUCAAUUUUCGAUAUUCGUUCGUAUUAACCUUCAACACUAGUCCAUGUUUAUCAUUACUUCUUCCAAUACUCGUCCGUGCUGAUUCACAAUACUCGUCCUUAUUAGGCAUUCCCACUCGUCCGUGUUGGUCGUUUUUCAAUACUCGUCUGUAUUGAUCUCACAAUACGCGUCCGUAUUGAUCCUCUUGUAAAUACCUGUUGUAUUGAUCUCAACAUCUGUCCGUGUAGUUAAACCCCUUUCAAUAUCUAUUUGUAUUGGUACCCAUCACUCGUCUGUGUGGACCUCACUCUCCUUCUUAAUCUUUUGUUCAGAAGAACCCUUUUCUGGCACAGAGGAUCCGUUGCUACCUGUUGUACGAGAAAAUAGGAUAUCCCCAGCAAGACACCUCAUUCCCCUUCUCGGAAUCCUGCGGAGACAUACCGUUCGCCUGGUACAUGCCGAAACAUGUGGGGGAGGCAAGAAAAAUAAGAAAGAAGAAAAUGACAAAAGGGAGUAAGAAAAAUGAAAAAAGAAUAAAAGAUAAGAGAAAGGAGAAAAAAAACAUCUAUCAUAUAGCAUUAGCAUAUUGCAUACACCAUGCAUAUCUAACCCUUCAAAAAUAUCCAUCCACCAAAUAACAUUCCAAUUCCUAGCAGCUGCCCUACACGAAGAUUGGCCUAUUCAUCCCACUUACCAGUAAAGAUCUCCUUGCAAUAUACCGCCACCGUACAAUCCAUUUGUUCCGCACGGGUAAAUUUUCCGAUAUUUUAGUAUUUAAUCCUCUCCCACCUUAAUUGUCCGGAGGCCGUUGCUAUCCAUACAUUUAGGUCCGAGAAGAUUAAAUAAGGGCAUCUUUCAUACCCCAAAAUUUGCCCUCCCCUUUUUUUCUUCACAUCUCCAUCUAACCAUCUGACUAGAGUUCAAUUGCAUACAUUAAAUAACUCAUGCAUAAGCAUCAUUCACUAACCUGGGUUCCAAGUGUUGGACUUGCAGGGCUUUGGUUUGUCUGUACAACAACUGGAGAUGCUUGGUUGGACUUUCUCCGAGGCACUGAGGCCUCCAAAUCCCUAAUCUUAGGCAAUCUCAGGCGAUGUGUCGCACUCAAUAUUCAGUACUUGGUCUGUCCUUUGUAUCCCGUUGGAUGCUCGAGUCUCUUGAUCAUAAUCCAAAUCCUUGGUCUCAUAAUUUCAAUCUUCAUUCAUUCACCUAAUCAUGGUCAUACCACCAUUGCUUGGUCCGUAGGGUCACGUUCCCCGCUUCCAAGCGUCAAUUGCAAAUCUCGGGUUUAAUUUGUGGUCGUGUGCAUACAUUGAGUCAGGUCAUUUUCAUUCAAUUGGUCAAAUACAUUUAUUUUAUCCCUAGAACAUUCAUUACAAACAAAAAAUCUGCAUAAAAGGUGUAACAUUGAAAAAAAAAUCAUUUUUAGAGGUUUUUAGCCUUAUGAGUCAACUCACGACUCAGCGCAAAACCCUCAGGUCCGAACAGGUCGACCCAUCGGUCAAUGCAAUUAUGGGCAGCUUGAGUGAGUCGACUCACCCAUCACUUGCGUCGACCCAUCUCCAUUUCUUUUUUCAAUCAUUUCGUCGCGGGUCUAGAUAGGUCGACUCCCCGGUCGACUCAACCCUGGAAAAUCACUGUAUGAGUCGACUCAUGCCCUGUUUGAGUCGACUCAUGGCUUGUUCUGCAGGAUUUUGCACCACUGUUAUGAGAAGAGGACUUUUGGGAUGAAACAUGAUCCUCCAUCAUUGAGGCUUGCAAUCCAAGGCGAGUAGACCCAUGCAUGUACACCGGGAAGAUCGUGAGCAUCCGAAGACACUUUGAUGAGUGGUACUUCGCAUUGUGAACACAUCAAACCUGCAGAAAAACCAAUGCAGUAAAAUCCACCAACACUUCAACUUGCACAAUCAUAAUCAAAGCCAAAAUCACAUAACACAACACAACCACUGUUAACCUAUAGUAGGAGGUCAUUAGCCAACAUUAAAGCUUAACUUCAUUCAAAUUUCCACCUACAAUAACCAGUCACUUAAACACAUUUCACUAAAUGAACACAUUAACUAACCUCCAAUUGAGUGAGUUAACUACCUAAACUCACUGAGUUCAUCCCAACUAACUCCAAACCUCUUUUAACUAACUCCAAGCCUAACUCCAAGCCUUAGCCUAAUCCCUCUAAAAUUCCCAUCUUCACCAUCAUUUGUAGGCUCCAUCCAUCCACUUCAUUUUUUACCGUUACCUCACUUUUUCUGCAAACAUUACCUUCAACUUUUCUCACUUCAUCUUCUCCAAUUCUUCACCCUACACCAAAGCUCUAACCACCAUUGGAGAAAGAUUCACAUUGAAGCUUGUUAUCAAUUGAGCUAAACCUAUCACACUCAACAAUCAUCCCUGCAUUCAUGGAAUCAACAUCGACAACAACGAUCCAGUUCAGAACUUUUUCAGAAUUGAUUCUUGAGGAGGACGAGUUUAUAGUUGAAGGAGAAGAUUAAAGUAUCAUAUUUCUGAUUUUCUCCUUUUCAUCUUCAUCACUUCCGAGUUUCAACAAACGCUAAGACAAACCUCCAUCUUGCAUGUCGGUGAAUUUUUACUCUUGUCGAACUGUCGAUAUCACCAUGUAGCUUGUGUAGUGGGGAAUCAAAAACCCCAAUGUUUGGCAGUUCGAUUUUUCUUAAUUGCCAUUUUCGUUCAAUUUCCGAUUCUUGACGUGAACUUCUUAAUUUCCAGUUGUUGAGCUGUAAUUAGGACAUAAAGGUUUGAGAGGAGAAAGAAUUGAUUUUCUUCUUGAAUUCGGCCAACUCUACCGCCUCCGGCGUCGUGGUGCUGGAAUUCCAGAGGUGAUUCUGUUUUGCAUCCAUGCUUGGAUUGUUUGACUGUUCCAAGGAGUGUUCACCCCAUAUCAUUCAUUGCCACGUGUAGCAUUAACAUGCAUGCGGAUAGCAUUUUUUUCAUCUUCGUUAUUGUGCUGCAUUCCUGCUUACUAUGUUGUUUUCAUACCCCUGGCCUAACAUGGUUCAUCUUAAUCGUGAUAAUCUCAUAAUUGAUUUAAUCAAUUCUAAUUUUAAUUCUGUUUUUGGUGUUAGUCGUGAUGCAGUUUUUGUAUGGAAUAGUCUUUGAUUCCUGUUUUUUUUACAUUUAGGAUUCACAUAACUGUAGUGGUAAAUAGCUUAAUUCACGUUCACUUAAGAAUUAGGAUUAGGUAACUAGUUAAAAAUUAGGCUUACUCACGUGUAUGUAGACUCAUUGCUUAAUUUUUUAGAACUCAUUUUUCAUGUGAUCAACCAUGCUAUGUUUAGAAUUUCACUUGGUUUGCCAUGCUAAUUUCCAUGUACAUGAGUAAUCUCACUUUGACUUAGUUACGUUUUAUUUGUGGUUAGUGGCUGAACUGAAGUUUCAUUUCCUUUUGGUUUGAUAUACAUUUGUUCAUCAUGAUCAUCAUAUCGCACCAUGCUAUCACCAUACCCUCUCAUUCAUUUGAAUUACCAUUUCAAUUCCUCCUUAUUUGAUGCAUACUAACCGUUGUUAUUUUGUGGCGACAUGUGAAUAUAAAAAACCUCAACACCAUCCAAGUUCUUUUAUUUUCACUCAUUAGUUUGUAGUGUGCGAAGUGUCAUGUCACUUGUAUGCUUUAGGCAUGACACAUGAGUUGUAAAUUGUAUUUCCCUUUCAUGCCUUCUUGUUGUACUAUGUGGAUCCAUCCCCCAUCAUUGGUUAAAUGUUCCCCCACCCCAUAGUCAUGUAAUAGCUUAGAUUUAUUGCGUUCUAGUUAGUUCGCCAUGCAUGCUAAUAACCAAGAUAAAAUGCAAAAUGAUAAACAAAGCAUUUCCAAGAGAAACAAAAAAGGCUUGAUUCAACGUCAAGUCAUUUUCCGAAUAAAACUCACAUCAUUGCAAUGUGAAUACUCGAUUCAACGUCAAGUAUUCCCCAUCCGUUCCAUUUUUCGCGCCUCUUCUCCCUUCUCUCCUCAACCUCAUCUUAUCUCAUACCCUUUACAUACACUUUUUUUCAAUAAGUAAACCCUUGAUCCAACUUCAAACGGUCUUUUCUCAAAUCAAACUCAAAAACAUAAUAAAUACGAUUAGGAUUAUGCAUCACGAGCCUUAAGUGGCAAAGAAGGGAUGAGAAUGGAGCUUUCCUACACUCGUUCUGAAUUCUUCGAACAUAAGACGUUUGGCUUGGUAGUCCGAGGUAUUCACCUUUAUCCAUAGCCUUUAGUGCAAUCCGAAAUCAAUAACGCAUUUCUCGAAACCUAAAAACAACUCAAUGCAUUCAAACCUUUUGUUUGAGCCUUAGGGCGACACCAUCAAAAACCCUUCUUCAAGGUGAUAAAAUCAACAAAACAAACAAACCUUUUAUACCCACGAACUACGGGGCUCUGAUUCCUCACUUCAACAAGUUGGUAUACGUAGGCACAAGGACCUAAUCCUUGGCGAGCACACUAAAUUAAAAUCUACCUCCACUUCACAAACCUUUAGCAAGCAAACAUUUCGAUAAACAACAUCCAUUCAAGCACUAACAUCUUAGAUGGUUCCCAUGGAGUACCAUGGAUGUGAGGGAUACUAAUACCUCCCCCUUGCAUAACCGACUUCCGAACCUGUUCGUGGUUGCGAUGACCAUUCUUUGGGGUUUUCUCGAUAUUUUCCCUUUCCUUUGGAAUAAAUAAAAACCAAUGGUGACUCUGUAUUUUUUUGCGUAGCGACAAUUCUACAUCAUUUAUCAUAGACUAAAUUUCAGAUUAAAAUCCAAAAAGGAUUUGAAGUUCAAUAUAAGACAACUUGGUUCUGUUACAUGAGAAUGACAUUGCAUUAUCUUCCAUAUCAUUCAUUACAUCAUCUCACCACUCACUACCAAAAAAAAAACAUUUGAAUUAACUUUGAAUUGAAACAAAAUUGUAUAUGCACACCAUCUCCAUAUCAUUCCUCAUCAUCCCAUAUCAUCAACAAAAAGGAACAAAACUAUAAGAACUUUGAAAUAAAUUGUUUUCAAUUGAUAUAUCUUGCAUACAUACAUUGCAUUGCCAUCACCAUCUUUACACACAUACAACAAAAUGAGAAAAAAUGAUCCUAAUGAGCCUAUUCCAUUAGAUAUUUAUGAUCCAAGAACAUGGAAUAACCUUAGAAGUGAUUUAAGGAAUGAAUUGCUAAAAAAUGAUCCUAAAAGAGAUGUGUCAAUUGUGAGUGGUCUUAAAGAUACUCUUGGUAGGAACUUUUCAUCCUCACAUUACAUUCAUUAUUGUGCUAAUGGAGAAAACCAAGGUAUGUUGGCUUGUUUAUUCAAAAGAAUUGGAUAAAAAAAUUUAUUUCUAUUGUAAGAUAUUUUUUAGAAGUCCUAAAACAAAUCGCUUAGCUCAAGAAGGUUUCAAUGAUUGGUCUCAUCUUAUGAUUAGGCUUAAAGAACAUGAAUCAAGCGGUCCACACAUGGUUUUUAUGAGUGAAUGAACUGACUUUUAAAUCAGAUUUCAAAAAAACAUAACAAUUGAUAAACAUCUUCAUGAGCUUAUAAGAAAAGAAAAAGAACAUUGGACGAAUGUUUUGGUUAGGUUAUAUAUAUUGUUAGAUAUCUUUCCAGAAAAAAUUUAGUUUUUCGUGGAAUAAAUAACAAGAUCACCGUACAAAAUAAUGGGAACUAUUUUUUUCUUGUUGAGAUGAUUGUCGAAUGUGAUCCUGUUAUUCAAAGGCACAUUGAUCACAUCAAGAAUAACAAAUUAAUUCUCAUUAUCUUAUCCAUAAGAUCUAAAAUUAAUUGAUUAUUCUCUUAGGUAAUGAAGUUAAAUGUGCAAUAAUCCAAAAGAUCAAAGAAGCAAAAUACUUUUAUGCGAUACUUUAUUGCAUUCCUGAUGCAAGUCACCAACUACAACGUAUUUUCACUAUAUUCUCUCAUUCCACAAAGUGUUGGAAAAAUUUAAGAGAUAAUGUGAAAGCUUUAACUCUCAAACCAUUGUCACAAACACGUUGAAAAAGCCUCGUGAAUAGUAUAAAUAAAAUUUAAACUCAAGCUUCAUACAUAAGACAAGCUUUACUUCAAUUAGUUGAACAAGAUAAUGAUCCAAAGAUUAACAGCGAAACAAAAUCUUUUGCACAUCAUGGAAUUGCGAAUUUUGAGUUUUUACUAGCUAUGACUAUCUGAGUUGAGUUGUUAUUUGUAGUUAAUGAAAUUAGAAUUUUUUUUACAAAAAAAGACAUGCGAAUUGAUGUGGCUAUACAAUCAGUAAAAGGUUUGAUUAUCCACUUGAAAAAAUAUAGAGAAUCUGGUUUGCAAAGGCUAUUUCUAGUGCUGAAAUAAUUGUAUGAAGUAGACAUUGAAUGUGUCUUUAAUAAAAAAUGUCAAAUUCGUAGAAUGAAAUACUAUGAUGAAAAUCCAUCUGAAUGUACACAAUUAAAUCUUGAGUCUGCUAAGGACUCUUUUUGAAUUCAUUAUUUUUUAUACAUUGUAGAUCAAACAAUGGACUCAUUUAAUAGAAGAUUUGAGCAAUAUAGGACAUAUGAGAAUAUUUUUGGAUUUUUGUUUAAUAUUGAAAGACUUAAGUCAUUUUCUGAUGAGAACUUGAAACUUUCUUGCAUAAAUCUUGAAACUUAUUUAAAACAUGACAAUUCUUAUGAUUUUGAUGGUGAAAUUUUAUAUGAAGAAUUAAAAGUUAUAAGAGAGAUUUAAAUAGUUGAAUCCAAAUCUAGUUUUAUGUUAUUGAGUUCUCUUAAGAUAUUCAAUUGUUUUCCUAAUACAUGCAUAACUUAUAGAAUAAUAUUAACUAUUCUUGUUACUAUUGCAUCGACUGAGAGGAGUUUUUCAAAAUUAAAAUUGCUAAAAUCUUAUUUACUAUCGACAAUGUCAUCAGUUAGAUAAACAAUUAUGGUUUUCAAAUUUAGCAGCAAUAAUGAUAUUUCAAGACUCAUUGGAGCACUGGUAUUUUGGCCUCUUGAAUUUUGAAAAAAAAACGAAUUUGAAGAUUGGGAAGAGAAUUGAUAUUAAUGUUGUCAAUAUCAUAAAACUUGUUCUCCAAACAAUUCUGAAGCGGAGCCAUAGAUUCAGGCGGGAACAAAUAUUUUUUAACAAUCUUAUAUCUGAACAAUAGUAGGCUGCACAAUAUUAGAGGAACCAGAAAUUAAAGAGCCUUGAAUAUGUUCAGAUGGAUUGACAGUGUAAAUCUUUUUACACUGACAGGACAUAACAAUUAAUCUCUUUUACAAAAAUAAUAUUAUCAUAUUAAUAAAUGAAAGUUUAUCAAAGUGUUUAUAAACAAUCUAUGUAUAAAUAUAAAUUUAAAUAUACCACAUUACAUUCUCUCCCGAUAAAUGAUAUGAUCAUCAAGUAACUCGAAAACUUAAAACAACAAUAUUAUUAGUUUUUAAAUAAUUAGUAAUAAAUUUUACAUAUCUAGUAAGAAUCAAGAUAGUUACUGCAAUUCUUCAAAUUUUACAUUUCUCUAAUUAUGUUUUAACUUGAAAUAAAAUACUAGGAUUAAAAUAUUUAUUUACCAAAAUUAAUGCAUGAUUUAUAUUAUUUAAAAAAUACAUUAUAUAGGCUUCGAUAAGAGUAGUUAUAAGUGCUAACUUUUUUUUACUUUGUGAAACUUUUUGGACCACAUGAACAUAAAGUAUGGAGCAUGAUGAUAUUGAACGUCAUUUCUCUUUGCCCUAUUUGGAACUCCAACAGCAUAAAAACUUUUUGGAUAGGUCUACUUAUUAAUGAAAGUUCACAAUUUAUGUAUUUAAUUAUUUCAAAACUUUAGUACAGUCCGUGAUAUACAUUGUUGUAUAUAGCAAAAGAUGAUGGAGAAUCCGAUGUAUAUUUUUACUUAUUUUGUUUGCAUCUUUUAAGGAAUGGACUUUAGAUUUUGAGAAUAAUUUUCAUAUUAUAUUAUUAAAAAUUAUUUGUUUGUAUUGGUAAAUUUAAUUUAAUUUUUCAUAAAAAUGUAAAAAUAUUUUACUACAAACAAACUUACACUAUAUUUUAUCAUUCAAAAACUUUAUGUCAAUCAACUAUUUUGGUCAAUUGUAUUGUGGCUCUUAUGUCUAUAGUUGAAAUGAUUUUAAAAUUUGUCUCUAGUAAAAUAUUUCACCAUCUUUUAUAUGAAUUGAAACUAAAAUUUAUUACUAACGGACUUUACGGAUAUCGACGUUAUGUAGACGCUAAACAAGUGGUUAUUGAUAACAUACACAAUAUCAUGGAUACGAAACUGAUUUUCAAAAAUCAUAUCAUAUUUUCAACAAGAUAGUGUUAUUAAAAUCACCCAUGUUUAUUGCAAAACAAAAUUGUGUGCUGAUGUUAUAGCUAAAAAUGUAAUGUCUCAUCCAAAUAAUAAGUGUAACUUCUAUAAUUGUCCAUCAUUUAUUACUCACUUAUUUGAAAGUGGCUUCAUAAGAUUUGCAACCAUCUGUUAGGUGUAAUCUUUUCCUUAAGCUUAGGCUCUUCUUUUAAUAAAAAAAAACUAUUUCUAAGAUAACUAGAUCCUAUAUUUUUUUCAUACAAUUUACUAAAAACUAAUAAAUAAAUAAAUCUUACAAUUUAUAAAAUUAUCAUUAAUUUUUAUUCAUUGUCAUAAAUGUAUAAUUUAUAAUAAUUAAAAAAAAUUGUUGAUAACAUAACAUACGUCGAAUCCUAGUAAUCUCUUUGGUGGUUGAUACAAUUUUCUAAACGAUUGUUAAUUUAUAAAAUUGAAAACAACUAGAAGUUAAUAAACGUAUUACACAUUCUUAGUAAAAAAUGGAAUAUGUAAUUUCAUACUAUUUGUUACAAAGUGUUCCACAUAUUUUGAAGUAGUUGAUGUACUUCCUAUUUUUCUUUUUUUUAGCAAAUAUGAAAAUGAAAAGAUUUUCAAAUAUAAACUCCCAAAAGAUUAUUGGUUUUUUUGCCGACCAAAAGGUUAAAAAAACCCAUAAAGGCGAAACAAGGAGAGGGGGCAAAACAAGACAAGAUAAACAUAUUUGUGUCUUGCACCAUCUUAGAAUUAGCAAAACGGGCUAUCCGAUCCGUUCAAAUGCCUUUGACAGAUCGGAUUUAAAAGCUCAUAAUUUAAAUAGACUACAAUUUAGUUGUUCAAACCCGACCUUUUAUAGACUAGGAUUUUUUUGGACCGAUCUAGAGUAUAUUUAAUAUUAAUUUUUUAAAAUAAAUAGAAAAAUUAAUAGACCAUGAACUAUAAACUAAAAGAUAUAUGAGUACUGAAUAU
rnacentral:lncRNA from 1 species